ACACCGGCUCUUUUAAGAGCCAACAAAUGUGCUAAAAGAAGCAAA
rnacentral:ncRNA from 1 species